rnacentral:ncRNA from 1 species
AAAUAAUUUUUUAUAGUUAAUAGAAUUUAUUGUAUAUUUAUUUUACAUACAAAUCUUUGUAAAAUAUAUAUUUUAAUAAUAUGUGAUUUUUGUAGUAAUUAAUUUUAAAUUAAUAUAUUUAUUAUAUAAGAAAUUAUGAUUUAGUAAUAUAUAAAUUAUAAACAAAUAUUUGUGCCAGCAGUUGCGGUUAUACAAAAUAUAAAUUAAAUUUUUUUAGUUAUUAAUUAAUUAUAUAAAAAAAAUUAAAUUAUAAAUUAUUAAGUAAAAUUUUAAUUUAUAAAAAAUUUUAAUUUAUGAAAUUAAUAAAUUUUAAUAUAAACUAGGAUUAGAUACCCUACUAUUAAAAAUUUAAAUUUAAUACUAAAUUAUUAAGUAAUUAUUUAUUGAAAUUUAAAUAAUUUGGCGGUAUUUUAAUAAAUUUAGAGGAAUCUGUCUAAUAAUUGAUAAUCCACGAAUAAAUUUACUUAAAUUAAAAGUUUAUAUAUCAUUGUUAAAAAAAUAUUUUUAGAGAAUUUUUAAUAUUUUAAAUUUAUAAAGAAAAUUUAAAUCAAAUCAAGAUGUAGUUUAUAUUUAAGAAUAUGAUGGGUUACAAUAAAAUUAUUUUUGGAUAAUAAUUUGUAAAAAUUAUUUAAAAUUGGAUUUAAAUGUAAUUUUAUUUAAUUUAUUAAAAUGAUUUUAAAAUAAAAUAUGUACAUAUUGCCCGUCGCUUUCAUUAUUAAAUUGAAAUAAGUCGUAACAAAGUAGAUAUACUGGAAAGUGUUUCUAGAAAGAA